UGAGAGUGAUAAAAGCAAUAAACCUUUGUGUUAUUUUGAGCCCCUGAAGUGUGAUGGUUGCUUGCUACUGUAGCAUCACUGAGCCCAUCCCCACUCUUCCAGAUGCUAGGAAGACGUGUGAAGGGAAACAGUUAACAUUUCUACACUGCAACUUUUUCACUUGAGACUCACAGCAUUCCUAUGAGAAAGAUCUGCAGACGAAGGUCCAAAGGAAGAAGAUUUUGUUGAAGACUGAAAAGAGAAAUAUACUUGGUGGACAGAGAUAACUCCUUUCAGCACAGAGGUCAGAUGACAAGGCUGCAGCAUGAAGAAGAUGCCAUAUUGUGGAAUUGGGUGUCAAGGAGAAGACAUUCGAAGGUGCAUGAACAGAGUGAAGGUGGUGCAAGCAAGUGCAGAGGAGCUCUAGGAGGUCGGCUCCCUGUCACUGUCUGGUCUACUGUGUCGUACCACCCAUGCCCAGCACCUAGCCUUGCACAUUAUAGGACUUAAUGCAAACUUCUUGACUGAAAGAAAAAUGAAGAAACUCAGCCUUGGGAGAGAAAACAACCAUUAAAUGAUUAUUUAAUAAAA